AUUGAACGCUGGCGGCAGGCUUAACACAUGCAAGUCGAGCGGAGAUGAGGUGCUUGCACCUUAUCUUAGCGGCGGACGGGUGAGUAAUGCUUAGGAAUCUGCCUAUUAGUGGGGGACAACAUUCCGAAAGGAAUGCUAAUACCGCAUACGCCCUAUGGGGGAAAGCAGGGGAUCUUCGGACCUUGCGCUAAUAGAUGAGCCUAAGUCGGAUUAGCUAGUUGGUGGGGUAAAGGCCUACCAAGGCGACGAUCUGUAGCGGGUCUGAGAGGAUGAUCCGCCACACUGGGACUGAGACACGGCCCAGACUCCUACGGGAGGGAGCAGUGGGGAAUAUUGGACAAUGGGCGGAAGCCUGAUCAAGCCAUGCCGCGUGUGUGAAGAAGGCCUUUUGGUUGUAAAGCACUUUAAGCGAGGAGGAGGCUACCUGGAUUAAUACUCUAGGAUAGUGGACGUUACUCGCAGAAUAAGCACCGGCUAACUCUGUGCCAGCAGCCGCCGUAACAC
rnacentral:rRNA from 1 species